rnacentral:misc_RNA from 1 species
AAACAGUUUGCAACUGAAUAUUGACUACAAACAGAGACUAAAUGUUUACAUUAUGCUCAAAAUUAGAGUGACAAAUGUGUUGUUGAAUGUGUUGAAUACUACACAUCUGAUUAUAAUUCAUGACAAUAAACAAUAAAAUAAUUAAAUCAUAUAAAAAUAGUUGUAAUUUAUUUUUUUAAAUUAAAAAUGGGUAAUUAUUCAAGUAAAAUUGCAUGGAUGUCAGAUGUUGCUGUUAAUUCAGUUUAUCGUGGUAGAAAAAGAAAGUGCAUUGAAGAAGAUAAUUGUGAUUCGGAUUCUGAUUUCAUCGAGAGAACCUUACAGACUCCAAAAAAAAGAAAAUUAUUAACAACUGCACAGUAUAUUUACAAAACACUUUUUCAAGAAGAAAAAGGCAGUGAUAUAACUGUUUUUAUACUGGGUAGACCAUGGAGGCUUCACAAAGUUUACAUAAGUCAGAGUCCUUAUUUUGCAAGUAUGUUCUCUGGUUCAUGGAAAGAGACAAAUCAAAAAAUAAUAACUGUAGAAAUAGCUGAUCCAGCAAUAACUCUUGACUCAUUGUCAACAGUAUUGGGUUCAUUUUAUCAAGAUGAAGUUAGUUUAGAGCCAAAAGAAGUUAUAUCAAUAUUAGCAACAGCAACAUUAUUUCAAUUGCAGGGUUUAAUUGAUCAAUGUACUGAAAUAAUGAUUGAAACAACAAAUAUUAAAACCGUUGUGCCUUAUUAUAAUGCAGCAGUGUCUUAUGGUGUACCAGAAGCUAAAAAAGCAGCUAAAAAAUGGCUUGAAGUAAAUUUAUUAGGAUAUGGAUGGAGAUAUCCAACAUUUUUACGUGAAAUAACACCUGAAUUUAUGGCUGAACUUAUUAAUAGUCCAGGGCUUGUUGCAAUGCAAACAGAAUUUUGUUUAUACAUGAUGUUGAGAGAAUGGCUUUUUAUACACAUGGAAGAUAAUGAUGAUUCCGUAGAAGUUGAUGAUUAUUAUAAAAAACAUACGUGGUCAGAGCCACUUUUAGAAACGACAAUUGGUAAAACAUAUUCAGCUCCAUUUAAAGCAUUGAGAAUGAAAUAUCUACUGUUGGAUUAUCAAGAUGUUAAAAUAUUAUACAGUGAUAAUUUAAUACCACCAAAAUGGUUGCAUGAAGCAUACAAAGAACAGUGGCUUCAUUUGUUACAUAUUGAUGCUAAUCAUGAUCGUGGGCCAAAGAAAAUGAGUGAAUUAGAAUUUUCAAAUGAGUGCUUCAGAUGUGGACGUUGUGUUGAUAAACCCAGUGAACAUAUUUGGAGGUGGACUGCAUUUUUGUUUGGUCUUGAUCUUGUUGUUUAUCUUGAUACAACGACACUGAGAAUUAGAAGAAAUCACAGACUGGACACUGAUCAUAUUACAAUUAAUCAAAGGAAACGUAAUGUCAUGAUAAGAAUUUCAUUGAUAUCUCUGGAUGAACAGAGACAAAUAAAACACAUGCAAGACAGCGGAAUACUAAGAAUAUCAUUGCAUAAAAAUGAAGAGAAGCAGCUAAUGUCACUGGACAAGCAAUUAACAUAUCCAUUGUAUAUCUCAGUUAAUAUGCAAGUUGUAACACCAUUUAUAGAAAAAGACGAUGAAAGUAUAUCAAACAUCACAGAACUCGAAACAUAAUGUCAAAGAAAAUAUACAUAUAUUUUUUUUCUAUUUAUUUUUCUAAUUUGAAAAAGUAAAAAAGUGUUAUGGUGCUAAAAUUGUAUAUUUUUCACAUAAUUGAAUUUUCUAGUCGGUUAAUACAUACUAGAAUAUAUAAAAGAAAAAAAGAAAGUGCUCUUACUGUAGAAACGUGAAUUCUGUUGAGGUAAAAGUCGACGAGGUAAAUGACUAUUAUUUCACGAUGAUAAGAGUAAUUAUCAUGCGCUUUUUUUUUUGGCUGAAACUUAUACUCGAAACAAAAAUCAAAAAACAUUCCACCAGUAUUUCUAUAUGAAAUGUUUUUUUUUUCUUUUUUUCUUUUCAACUUUAAUAAGUUAUGACUAUUAAAAUUAUAUUACAACGAAGACAAAAUAUAUAUCAACUUUUAUGAAAUAAAAAAACUAUUUUUAAUUUAACGAAGAAGAUUUAUAUCUUCAUAUUGCAAUUUUUUUUUUUUUUUUAUUAUUACGUCAAUCGUAUUUUCAUUUUUUGUUUUUUCUAAUGAUUAUUCUGAUAUUAAAAUCACGUGAAGAAUCAUUUUUUUUUUUUGCUGCCUGUAGAUUUUCGAAGGCUGUGAAUAUUUUGUAACAAAUGAUAAAAAUAUAAAUUAAUAAAUAAGACAAAUUUAAAGAUGAUUAUUAUUAAAGUUUAUCUCACUUUAAUAAAUUUUUUUGCGCAAAUAUUUUCAGUUUUUAAUAUUGUUUAUUCAGUAAUAAUUGCAUACAAGUGUUGUUUCUUUUUCAUUCUAUUAAUAUUUUUCUUGUGUAAAUAAUAAUUUACUUUCUAAAAAAAAAAAAAGGAAAACAUUAUUGACGAAUUACUUGUAAUGAAUUAGAAUUUUUAUUUAAAUACGCAGCGCGUUGAAACUCGUUGAUGGACAUUGACAAAGUAAUUUAUUAAUAUUUGUAAUAAUUUGUUUAUAACAAUAAAUAAUGAAUAAAAAUAUUGUUCAUUAAAUAAAUUUCUUUUGUAUUGUAAUAUUGAGUAAACACUGAUUUGCAAAAAUUUUUUAUUUAACAACGAUUUAUGUUUUUUUUUUAUUUGACUUAUUUAAAAUAUUACUAAAUUAUAUUUUUUUGAUAUUGUUUUAAUAUUAUUAUCUUUUUUUUUUCAUACACUAAUUGUUAUUUUUUAAGGCAUACAUGCGACUGUCUUCACGACAUAAAUUCCGGGCAAUAAAUUAAUAAACAAUUAUUAUUUUAUUGAUAAAACUAAUUUUUAAAAUAUUUUUAUUAAUUUAGCUAAAUUUAUCUAAA